rnacentral:rRNA from 1 species
UGGCCAGACUCCUACGGGAGGCAGCAGUGGGGAAUAUUGCACAAUGGGGGAAACCCUGAUGCAGCGACGCCGCGUGAGUGAAGAAGUAUUUCGGUAUGUAAAGCUCUAUCAGCAGGGAAGAAGAAAGACGGUACCUGACUAAGAAGCCCCGGCUAACUACGUGCCAGCAGCCGCGGUAAUACGUAGGGGGCAAGCGUUAUCCGGAUUUACUGGGUGUAAAGGGAGCGUAGACGGAGAAGCAAGUCUGAAGUGAAAGCCCGUGGCUUAACCACGGGACUGCUUUGGAAACUGUGGAGCUUGAGUGCGGGAGGGGCAGGCGGAAUUCCUAGUGUAGCGGUGAAAUGCGUAGAUAUUAGGAGGAACACCGGCGGCGAAGGCGGCCUGCUGGACCGUAACUGACGUUGAGGCUCGAAAGCGUGGGGAGCAAACAGGAUUAGAUACCCCUGUA